ACGGCUCAGUAACACGUGGAUAACCUGCCCUUGGGUCCGGCAUAACCCCGGGAAACUGGGGAUAAUUCCGGAUAACGCACAUAUGCUGGAAUGCUUUAUGCGUAAAAUGGAUUCGUCUGCCCAAGGAUGGGUCUGCGGCCUAUCAGGUAGUAGUGGGUGUAAUGUACCUACUAGCCUACGACGGGUACGGGUUGUGAGAGCAAGAGCCCGGAGAUGGAUUCUGAGACAUGAAUCCAGGCCCUACGGGGCGCAGCAGGCGCGAAAACUUUACAAUGCGGGAAACCGUGAUAAGGGGACACCGAGUGCCAGCGUCAUACGCUGGCUGUCCAGGUGUGUAAAAUACACCUGUUAGCAAGGGCCGGGCAAGACCGGUGCCAGCCGCCGCGGUAACACCGGCGGCCCGAGUGGUGAUCGUGAUUAUUGGGUCUAAAGGGUCCGUAGCCGGUUUGGUCAGUCCUCCGGGAAAUCUGACAGCUUAACUGUUAGGCUUUCGGAGGAUACUGCCAGACUUGGAACCGGGAGAGGUAAGAGGUACUACAGGGGUAGGAGUGAAAUCUUGUAAUCCCUGUGAGACCACCUGUGGCGAAGGCGUCUUACCAGAACGGGUUCGACGGUGAGGGACGAAAGCUGGGGGCACGAACCGGAUUAGAUACCCGGGUAGUCCCAGCCGUAAACGAUGCUCGCUAGGUGUCAGGCAUGGCGCGACCGUGUCUGGUGCCGCAGGGAAGCCGUGAAGCGAGCCACCUGGGAAGUACGGCCGCAAGGCUGAAACUUAAAGGAAUUGGCGGGGGAGCAC
rnacentral:rRNA from 1 species